GACAGAGGGUGCAAACGUUGUUCGGAAUUACUGGGCGUAAAGCGCGUGUAGGCGGCCAUCUAAGUCGGGCGUGAAAUCCCACGGCUCAACCGUGGAAGUGCACUCGAAACUGGAUGGCUAGAGUCCUGGAGAGGAAGGUGGAAUGCUUGGUGUAGAGGUGAAAUUCGUAGAUAUCAAGCGGAACACCGGUGGCGAAGGCGGCCUCUGGACAGUGACUGACGCUGAGACGCGAA
rnacentral:rRNA from 1 species